rnacentral:rRNA from 1 species
GAUUAUGGCUCAGGAUGAACGCUAGCUACAGGCUUAACACAUGCAAGUCGAGGGGCAGCAUGAUCGAAGCUUGCUUGAUGAUGGCGACCGGCGCACGGGUGAGUAACGCGUAUCCAACCUUCCCUAUAGUAGAGAAUAGCCCGGCGAAAGUCGGAUUAAUGCUCUAUGUUGUAUUUAGAGGACAUCUGAAGAAUACCAAAGGUUUACCGCUAUAGGAUGGGGAUGCGUCUGAUUAGGUUGUUGGCGGGGUAACGGCCCACCAAGCCCACGAUCAGUAGGGGUUCUGAGAGGAAGGUCCCCCACAUUGGAACUGAGACACGGUCCGAACUCCUACGGGAGGCAGCAGUGAGGAAUAUUGGUCAAUGGACGGAAGUCUGAACCAGCCAAGUAGCGUGCAGGAUGACGGCCCUAUGGGUUGUAAACUGCUUUUAUACAGGGAUAAAGUGAGGGACGUGUCCCUUUUGUAGGUACUGUAUGAAUAAGGACCGGCUAAUUCCGUGCCAGCCGCUGC